AUUGAACGCUGGCGGAAUGCUUUACACAUGCAAGUCGAACGGUAGAGGGGGCAACCCCUCGAGAGUGGCGAACGGGUGAGUAAUAUAUCGGAACGUGCCCAGUCGCGGGGGAUAACGUAGAGACAGUUACGCUAAUAUCGCAUACGAUUUAAGGAUGAAUGCGGGGGAUCGAAAGACCUCGCGCGAUUGGAGCGGCCGAUAUCAGAUUAGGUCGUUGGUGGGGUAAAGGCUCACCAAGCCAACGAUCUGUAGCUGGUCUCAGAGGACGACCCCCCACACUGGAACUGAAACACGGUCCAGAGUCCUACGGGAGGCAGCAGUGGGGAAUUUGGAACAAUGGACGCAAGUAUGAUCCAGCCAUUCCGCGUGCAGGAUGAGGGCACUCGGGUUGUAAACUGCUUUUGUACGGAACGAAAAGAUCUCUCUUAAUACGGGGGGCUCAUGACGGUACCGUAAGAAUAAGCACCGGCUAACUACGUGCCAGCAGCCGCCGUAA
rnacentral:rRNA from 1 species